rnacentral:rRNA from 1 species
CGGUGGUGGACUGCGGAGGAUCAUUACUGAGUUAGGGAGCAAUCCCGAACCUCCAACCCUUUGUGAACACAUCUUGUUGCUUCGGGGGCGACCCUGCCGCUUCGGCGGCAUUCCCCCCGGAGGUCAUCAAAACACUGCAUUCUUACGUCGGAGUAUAAAGUUAAUUUAAUAAAACUUUCAACAACGGAUCUCUUGGUUCUGGCAUCGAUGAAGAACGCAGCGAAAUGCGAUAAGUAAUGUGAAUUGCAGAAUUCAGUGAAUCAUCGAAUCUUUGAACGCACAUUGCGCCCCCUGGUAUUCCGGGGGGCAUGCCUGUUCGAGCGUCAUUUCACCACUCAAGCCUCGCUUGGUAUUGGGCGCAGCGAGUCUCUCGCGCACCUCAAAGUCUCCGGCUAGGCGGUUCGUCUCCCAGCGUUGUGGCAACUAUUCGCAGAGGAGUUCGAGUCGUCGCGGCCGUUAAAUCUUUCAAAGGUUGACCUC